GGCGAGGUAGCUCAGUUGGUUAGAGCGUUGGAUUCAUAACCCAGAGGUCCCGAGUUCAAAUCUCGGUCUCGCUACAA
rnacentral:tRNA from 1 species